GACGAACGCUGGCGGCGUGCUUAACACAUGCAAGUCGAGCGGUAAGGCCCUUUCGGGGGUACACGAGCGGCGAACGGGUGAGUAACACGUGGGUGACCUGCCCUCAGCUCUGGGAUAAGCCUGGGAAACCGGGUCGUAAUACCCGGGAUAUGACUCCAUGACGCAUGUUGUGGGGUGGAAAGCCUUGUGCGGCUGAGGAUGGGCCCGCGGCCUAUCAGCUUGUUGGUGGGGUGAUGGCCUACCAAGGCGACGACGGGUAGCCGGCCUGAGAGGGCGACCGG
rnacentral:rRNA from 1 species